UCUUAAGUGUUUUUAUGUUGGCUUUACCAUUUGGCAUUGAAUAGCAGUAUAGUUCACUGACAAAAUGCAGGGAGCUGUUUCAGACUUGCUGGGUCUUGUUGUGUUGUGAUUUAAAAUAUUUUGCUCUUUUUUAAGCUUCAAUUAUUGGCUUUGUCAACAUUGAUUUGAUCUUAUUUUUCUAUUCCUGAAACUACAGCUGUUUUCUUUUGUGGGUGAGAGGUUGCUGGGGCUUUAAACGACUGCCUUUGUGGUAUGGUGUUUCAAGACUCCAAUUCCCUCUGCUUUUUCUACUGUUUGCUGCUUCUCCAUUUGUUUUUAGUACUAGAGCCCUCUUUCCCUGAGGGUAGGAAUCAAACAUCUUGUGAAUCAUUGCUUUCCACUUAUAUUGGCCAGAGGCACAGUCAUAGUAGCAAUGAUGAUUUGUCAUACCUUGUACAGGAUGAUUUGUUUUGGAAAGCGAAGUAGGUAGAUCUGUUACAAUGCACAGAACUGUAUAAACUACUACAAAUGCCUCUACUACUGGGAUAAUAUGGUGCUGUGCAAUUUGGUUCCUAUGCAAAGUAAACUAAGACAGUGACUGACCUGAAAUGUCAUGUAAAGGGACAGGAUGUUCUUACAAAUUCUUUCAGUGAUAGCAAAACAGGAGAUAGUUUAAGUUAUAGGCUUCAGAUCGGUAGAGAUCUGAAUUUCUUUCUGAUUCCUAGAGGUUAGUAAUCCUGCAUACGGACAAUAAAAAUGCUUUUUGUGCAACUUAUCAGAACAAGUCGCAGGUUCUUGUUUUUCUUUCUCUUUUUCAGUCAGGAGUGGAAACCAGUGUAUUUUUAUUCCUGCAAAUAGUCCCAUGAGGUUAGAGUUCAGAUACGUUAGAAAGGGAAACCUUUGGUGGGGAGCGCAGUUGCUGUGACUGUAUUACCAGUGAAGACUCCUUUCAGACUUCAAAAGUGACUUUCUUGGAGAUCUAAGGAGUGAGACUAGUACAGAUAGAGAAGGUGUUUGCAGACUUCCCCCCCGCCCUUUCCUGAACUUUUAACAUUCAAAGUAGUUGUGCAUAUUUAACCUCUUCAAGGG